UAAUACGUAGGAGGCUAGUGUUAUUCAUCUUUAAUGGGUUUAAAGCGUUCCUAGACAGUUAAUUAAGCCUUUUAUACGGGAAGGUUUUUAGUGUACUAAUUAAACUAGAGUUAUAUGUAAGGAUGAAGCAAAGUACUGCUGGGUGUAGAGAUGAAAUUCAUUGAUACGAGUGGGAAGACGGCACAGGUAAUGGCGAAAGCAUCAUCUUAUGUAAUAACUGACGUUGAAGGACGAAGGCUCUUAGCCACAAAAAGGAUUAGGUACCCAAGUCAGUUUGGAGCAGAAAAUUAUGAAUGUCAUAGAUUAGAUGUAUAUUUGGUCUAUAAAUGAAAGUGUAAGCAUUCCACCUCGAGAGUAAUUUGGCAACAUUGGAAUUGAAAUCAUUAGACCGUUUCUGAUACAAGUAGUGAAGUAUGUUGUUUAAUUUGAUAAUCCUCAAAAAACCUUACCACAAUUUGAAUAUUAAAAUUAUAUUAUUACAAGUGUUGCACGGCUGUUUUAAGUUAAUAUCGUGAGAGUUUGGUACUGCCAACAAUUAACGUAAACCCUAACUUUAUUUUUAUAUAUGGUUGUCCCACCCGCUUAAUAGGGUGGGUAAAUAGGGACUAAGACAAGUCAUCAUGGCCUAAAUAUUGUGGGCUAUAGACG
rnacentral:rRNA from 1 species